UCCUGCAAAUGAUCGUCAACGAAAGAUACGAAUCGCUGAAGGUAUCAAAGCAUUGCAGGAACUGAUUCCUAAUUCUUCUGAGCGUGGUCAAGCAAAUGCACUGGAUGAUGUUAUUGACUAUGUCAAGUUUCUGCAGAUGCAAAUCAAGGAAUUAAGUCGAAGUAGAUUGGGAGGCGAACCAACUUCUAAUCCUUUGGUUUUCUUUGAGGGAUAUGGUCACUAUGUUCUCCAUGAACAGAUGAUAAAUGAACCUCUUGAAGAGAUGUGGGGAAGUUACUGGAGAUAAACCCAUCAGCAGCAAGUCAGCUGUUAGAGAGCAGAGGCCUUCACAUUAUGCCAAGGGCACUGGUUGAUGGCUUGAACAGAACCUCAUAGAUAGUCCAUACACAGCACCACUCUGCUAUAUCCGCUUAGUUUUGUUGACUAGCUAUGAUCCGAGUUUCCAUUUCUUUUGUGGACAAUAGAACCUAAACAGUAUUUCUAGUUUCAAAACACAGUUUACAGAACAAUGGCUAGUGUUCUUAAGUUUUAGUUGAAUGCACUUCGGAAGCUCUAGGCUGCGAGCC